CACACACACACACACACACACACACACACACACAUUGACGUGUGACGUUAAACUGCAUUCAAGGAACAGAUCGACCCAAACAAUCAAAGUCAUAGUGCAUUAUGGGUAAGAACAAUAAUGAAUUUGAAUGUGUGUGUAUGAGUUUGUGCAGGGAGAGAGAGAGAGAGAGAGAGAGAGAGAGAGAGAGAGAGAGAGAGAGAGAGAGAGAGGGGACGAGAGACCUUGUCCUUGCUGUGGUAGGGCCUGACGUUGUAGAGGCGAGAGGUGGGGAAGAGAGGAGGAGGUGGAAGCAGUUCUUCCAGGAGCCCAGAGUGGAGCUGUCCCCCAGAACCCGGCCGUCUGGAGGGAGACGAGGUCGACGUCAGCCUGAGGUCCUCGCUGGAUCACACCACAC